GCUGGCGGCGUGCCUAACACAUGCAAGUCGAGCGCGAAAGGGGGCUUCGGUCCCUGAGUAGAGCGGCGGACGGGUGAGUAACACGUGGGUAAUCUGCCCUCGGGUGGGGAAUAACCCAGGGAAACCUGGCUAAUUCCGCAUGAUAUCCCCUUUUCGUAAGAAGAGAGGAUCAAAGCUGGGGAUCCUUCGGGACCUGGCGCCUGAGGAGGAGCCCGCGGCCAAUUAGCUUGUUGGUGAGGUAACGGCUCACCAAGGCUCCGAUUGGUAGCCGGCCUGAGAGGGCGGACGGCCACACUGGGACUGAGACACGGCCCAGACUCCUACGGGAGGCAGCAGUGGGGAAUUUUUGUCAAUGGGGGAAACCCUGAACAAGCAACGCCGCGUGAAGGACGAAGGCCUUCGGGUUGUAAACUUCUGUCGGAGGGGACGAAAGCGGUAGAGGUUAAUACCCUCUGCCGUUGACGGUACCCUACGAGGAAGCCCCGGCUAACUCCGUGCCAGCAGCCGCGGUAAUACGGGG
rnacentral:rRNA from 1 species